UCGGUAUGUACUGGCUUUACUGAUUCCUCCUUCUUGACGAACUGUGAUGUCAUUAAUUUGGUGUUGCGGGAAAUCAGAACUGUUACUUUGAAAAAAUUAGAGUGUUUAAAGCAGGCUAACGCUUGAAUACAUUAGCAUGGAAUAAUGAAAUAGGACGUUAAUCCUAUUUUGUUGGUUUCUAGGAUCGACGUAAUGAUUAAUAGGGAUAGUUGGGGGCAUUAGUAUUCAAUUGUCAGAGGUGAAAUUCUUGGAUUUAUUGAAGACUAACUACUGCGAAAGCAUUUGCCAAGGAUGUUUUCAUUAAUCAAGAACGAAAGUUAGGGGAUCGAAGACGAUCAGAUACCGUCGUAGUCUUAACCAUAAACUAUGCCGACUAGCGAUCGGAUGAUGUUAUUUUUAAUGACUCAUUCGGCGCCUUACG
rnacentral:rRNA from 1 species